rnacentral:rRNA from 1 species
CAGCAGCCGCGGUAAUUCCAGCUCCAAUAGCGUAUAUUAAAGUUGUUGCAGUUAAAAAGCUCGUAGUUGAAUUUCGGGAUCAAGUCGUCGGUCGUGCCUCGGUACGCACUGGUGACAUUGGUUUCUCCCUUCUGAAGAACCUUGAUGUCAUUAAUUUGGUGUCUUGGGGAAUCAGGACUGUUACUUUGAAAAAAUUAGAGUGUUUAACAGCAGGCACU